ensembl:lncRNA
AUUAAGUUUUAAUUUCGAAUGUGUGUUUUUCCUCUUAUUAAGAAGGGAUUUUAAAAUUCUCCCAGCCAUUGUUGUUUUAGCCCUGGCCCAUCUUUCAUUUCAAUAACAAACUAGCCUAUAUUUCUAGCCUGCCUUCCUUGAAGCUGUGGGUAAUUUAGCUUCUCAGGUGAUUCAACUGGAUUCUUGGAGAAUUCUGUUUGGUCUUCUGUUGCAUAUAUGGCCUUGUUAGAAACACUGAUCCAGUAAACUUAUUAUGCAAAUAAAAGCAGAAACAUCAAUGUGGAUGUCCUUAACAUGGUGAGUUUUGUGCUAAGGAUCGUCUAAUUUUGUUUUUCCUUGUGAUGUCCUACAAACCACAAAUAAUGGGAUGAUUGUGUUGAACUUCAGAAACCCUAAUUAAAAUGAUUUUAAAACUGCCCUUGUAACAGCAAGUUCUAUCCCAAGACUACUAAAGAGAUCAAUGUCAAAAGAAAAGCCAGGCCUUUUAAAGAUGUCCUGUUUUUCUUUCUUCAUACCUCCAUUAUGCAGAGAAAAAUAAUAACAAAUACAAUUGGAAAAGGGGGUGUGGAAAAAGAACAAUUAAUAAUUAAAAACAUACACACACACACACAUACACGAAAUCUGCUUGGCUCUAAAACAUAAGAGGGCCAGUUGAAAACGUGGCAAACAGAAGUUGCUUUCUUUCUGGGACUUUCCAGGACACAAAUAUGAGAGAGGAUAUUUCUUAUGAACUCUUUAAGUGGAAGUAGUCAGAAAAGCAAUGCAUUUUGAAGUGGGUGUAAUCAGGAUCUUUAAUCCUUUAGUUUGGAUGUCAUCUGAUGAGCAAAUACUGAACCAUUAAUCUUAGCUGCUGUAUCCUAGCAGAAUAGAGCCUGUUCUUGUGUUUCUAUCCAUGGGGUUUCACUGUACUUGGAUAAGAUGGUUUUGCUUAACAUUGUUAUUAUUAUCUAUGAGAUAGAUAUCCACUUAAGGCUUGACUACACUGUUUUCCCUCCCACCUCCCCAUUAAUGCCACCUAGUGACUGCUACCUGGGAAUCAGUUCCAAUGAGAUUUUUCUUAUCACCAACUAAUAGUCUUUCCUCUAGUUCCUCAGCUAGAGAGGUGUAGCCUGAUUCCUUCCACUUCCUUCUAUCUGAUCAGUUAUAUUCUGCACAUCUGUGUACCUCUUGGUAGCACUCUAGGUUGAUUAUUUUUGACCACUCCACAGCCAUGAUGACUGAUGGCCCAACAUCCUUUGCUUUAACCCUCAGUGGUUCCUGUGUUCCCACCAUCGAGUCUGCUUCAGCUGGGUCAGCUUUGGGUAAGAAAAUCUAGAAAGUUUCAGAAUAAUCUUCUCUCUGGGCCAACCUUCCCAGGAGAGGUUUAGCACAUUCUUCCAUGUGAUGUCCUAUUUUCUUAUAUCACCAGGAGCUUAUCCUUCCUGGCACUUAGAAGAAUUGCUCUUUUCCAAGUAUGUUCUAUUUCUUUGAUUAAAAACUCUUACCCCUCUUAAAGGAUAAAUCCCAGAAGGGCAGAGUUCAAGCAGGUUUUUAUAUCACAUGCCUAGAGCAGUGUCUAGGACAAAGUGAAAAUGCAAGAAUAAUUUGCUAAACGAAUGAAUACAACAUGAAUAGCUGGAGUCACACAGACCUUUUUUAUAGCCUCGUUCUCCACUUACCAGUGAUGAAAUUUUCAGUAAGUAAUUUACUAUGCUAGCCUAGAAUUUAUCUGUUAAAAGAAAGGAAAAAUAAGGAUAAUAAAAUUCCUAAUCACACAGUUUUUCUGUAAGGAUUAAAGGAGAUAAUAUAGUUAAAGUGCUUCUAGCCCAGUGCCUGGAGGACAGUAAAUGUUCAGUGUCCUGGCAUCUUGGAGUAUGAGCAUUUUAUCCUAGAAAGGAAAUCUAGAAAAAAACACAAUUUGCCCAGCAUCACAGACAGCUUAUGGCAGAGCCUGCAUUGCACUGUUCUCAGAGCAGAGCCGACUUUUCUGAAUUGCUUAUCUAAGUGACAUACUCAAAUUUCCAUUUUGACAAGAUGACUCUGGCUGCAGUGUGUGUGUAUGUACGCGUUGGGUACAGCACUCUUCCUUUUUUCCUUUUUUUUUUUUGCCUUUUCUAGGUCUGCUCCUGCAGUAUAUGGAGGGUCCCAGGCUAGGGGUUUAAUCGGAGCUGUAGCCACCGGCCUACGCCAGAGCCACAGCAACUCGGAAUCCGAGCCACGUCUGCGACCUACACCACAGGUCACGGCAACACCAGAUCCUUAACCCACUGAGCAAGGCCAGGGACGGAACCCGAAACCUCAUGGUUCCUAAUCAGAUUUGUUAACCACUGCGCCACGACGGGAACUCCGAACACCCUUCCCUUUUGAAAACCAUGCCUUUAACAACACUUUCUUAUGUUAGUGCCAUACGAUGCCAACAAUCAUAAAACCCACAUAGAAACAUGACAUAAUUCACACAUCUUUAUUUGUAAAGCUCGUAGGGGGGUUCAUUAGAAUUCUAAGUCACUGUGUCACUCUGUAAAUUAAGUCAGAUUAUGUGCAUGGAUGUGCUUUUACAUAUUAUCAAACACUAUCUGUGUAUUCUUAUUAUUCUUCCAAGAGAGUCAAGCCCGAUUGUGCCUUAUGAAUGCCUAAGAGUGUGGGCUGUUUGGUAAAAGGCAUCUCUUCUGUGUCGACACCUGUUUUCAGUGGUUUAGUUGCCAGUAUGUUUCCUCCCCCUUCACAACAAGGGCUUCUGAACGGAGGGUUGUUUUACAGGAAUCUGAAAUAAUCAGAAAGCAAUGUGAGAGAGGUCCAUGGGGGGCAGCUGUGGCUGGGUGGCAGGGACUCUGUAAUUCACAAUUACUUGUUCCUGUGACAAAAGCAGGUGCCUUACAGCCUGGGGAGGGAAACUUUUUCGGGCUUGUUCCCUGGGCUUCAUGUCUUUCCAUUUAAUUCUCUCCUCUACCUACAAAGAAAGGGAGAAGAAUAUCUGGUCUGAGAUGCAGAAAGGGUUUUGGAAAGUUUUUCCACCCAGUGCCAAUAGCUGCCCAUAGCUGCCCAUAAUUGUAGUUAUCCAUCACAGAGUCUUCUUGACUGAGCAGAGCCAGAGAGCCAAUUUUAAUUUCUUUGUCCAGUGGGAUUUUCUCUCCCAGGUCCCACUCAUUCUCUCUUACUCUAUAUUUAAAGGGGAACCAAAGCAUCAUUUCCUAAUUAAAUCAAAGACAAGUGUUAUGGACUAUGUGGACCCUCCCCAAAUUCAUAUGUUGCAGCCCUACUUGCGAUGUAAUAGUCUUUGGAGCUGGAGGCUUUAGGGGUUAUUUAAAGUUAGAUGAGGUCAUGAAGAUGAGGCUCUCACAAUGACAUUGCCACCAUUGUAAGAAAAGGAAGCAGGAUGAUCGAGAAAGAGCCCUUUCUCUUCAAAAGGCGUGUGCAGAGGAAAAGCCAUGUGAAGACAGUGAGGAGGUGGCUGUCCUUCUGGGAUGUUCUCCCAACCCCAUUUUCCACUAAAAAUAGUCAAGGAAACACAUACAAGUAAAUAAAACCUUAAUAAUCUAAACAAAGCAUGGGAAGAACACCCCUUCUUUUGAUUCAUUAAUACAAAAAUUGUUUUUAAGCUCCAUGUAUGACCGAAGUCUGGAGUAUGCUGAGAUAAGAAAGAAAUGAGCUUGUAUUCAAUAUUUUUAUGGUUAAGAACAUAUAUCAGCCACCUUUGCCCCUCAAGGGUCAGACUGCAAAUGUCUGUGUGGCUAUAUACUCUGGUCCAGUUCCUCAACUCUACCAUUGCAAAGCAAAAGCAGCCACAGACAAUAUGUAAAUGAGUGAUUGCAUCUGUGUUCCAAUAAAACUUUAUUUAUAAAAACAGACAGCAGGCCAGGUUUGACCCAGGGGCCAUAGUUUGCUGACCGCUGAUAUAGAUAAACAGCCAAUAAGAAAAUGGCAAUGCAAUGUAGUGGAGACAUUGAGAGAGUAUUUUCAAAAUGAACUCUGUACUCACGCAUUGCUUGGGAGAACAAUUUAUAAGCCAAGGAAACGUUUUCACAUUGACUCAGUUUUGGCCUUGCUCACAGGCAUGGUCCAAGUUAAGGUGAUGGGUUUCUGGAACCUGUUUACAGGGCUAACUCAGAAACCAAACUUGUUAUGAACUCCUGAGGAAUGAGCCUACCUCACCAAUCAGAAAGCACAAAUCAAAAAGAAUAUGUAGAAAAAUAAUUGUGUUAUUUCUUACCACAUAUAAGUAGGAGACUAAGUGGAAUCAUAUCUUUAUCUUAACUCCAGACAGGGUUGUCUCCUUCACCGUGUCCUGGGAUCCCAGGACCUCUGCACUAUCAUUGAGAUUCCCAAGCCCUGUCAUGAGUUUACAGAUAAAUGAAGAACUGAACUCUUCAUAGUAUUAAAUCUUUAUAUCUGUAAGAAAUGUGCCUUUCCUUUGUCUCAAUUCUCCUUUUAUGCCUCUCAGUAGAGUUUUAUCAUUUUCUUCCAACAGAGACUGAACAUUUCUCUAGUUUCUUUCCAGAUUGUUUAUCUUUUUUGUUGCUCUUGUAAAUGAGAUAUUUCCUGAAUUUGAUUUUUUAACUUUACUGUGUCUGGGAAGAAAUUGAUUUUCGUAUAUUAAUUUUUUAACCAGGCAAUUUGUAAAAACUCUCUUACUUUUAAAAUGGUUUCUCAGCUGAUUCUCUUCUCAAAUAUAUAAUCAUAUCAUGCCAAAUAUUUAUAAAUUUAAUACUCAAUACAUUUGUCUCUUUUCUUAAUUGAUUCAUACUUUCAAAAUUAUUUAAAUAAAAGGUGGUUCAUUUCCUUAUUUUAAUGGUAACACUUGUUUUCCCUUAUCAGUCAUGAUUUUGCCUUUGAUUUCAUGUAUAUUUAUCAGAUUAAAGAUUUAUAUUGAUAAUUGAUUUUUUAUUGGUAAAAUAAUAAAUAUUCUGGAAGUAGAUCCUGGUAUAUAUGUGAAUUAAUAUGAAAAUAUUCAUUUGUCAAAUCAAUGGAAAAUAAUGGUAAUAUUUGUGUUCGACCUCUAUACCAUUCCCCAAAGAAAUUCCCCAUGAAAUAAACAUUCCAGUGUAACAGUAAUACAAAAUUGUUGGUAAAUUAUGCCAUUAACAAAUUCAACCUAUGAUAAAAACAGUUUUAGAAAUUUUUAAUGCAGAUACUAAGGAUAGCAGAUAAAGGUUUCACCUCUGUAAUGCCCAAAGAAUAUUUACAGAUUUAACAGAAAAAUACAUAAAAUCCAAUAGAAAUUCUGAGUCUCCUGCAGUAACACUCAGGAACUCAGAAUUUGUUUCCCAGGAAACCCAACCCACUACAAUGAAAUGCAGAUAUUUUAUGAUGCAUUAUAUGUAGUGACAAAAUGAGGAAACAAUGUGAAUUCCAAUUAUAGGUUGAACAUUUUAUCCUAUAUCCAUGUCAUAGAAUAUUAUGCCAGAAAUAAAAUGCCUCAAAGCUGCAGAAGUUGAUGUGGAGGGAUCUGCAUUGUGUAUUUUGCUGAGGAAGAAAAGCAAUAUUUAGAAAGUUUUACAUAUAAAAAUAGUCUUCUUAAUCUUAAAAUGCAUGAACAACAGCAUUAUGUAUAUGGAUUUAUGCAU